GGACUACUCGGGUUUCUAAUCCUGUUUGAUCCCCGCACUUUCGUUUCUCAGCGUCAAUAUUGGACCAGAGAGCCGCCUUCGCCACCGGUAUUCCACCUGAUAUCUACGUAUUUCACCACUACACCAGGUAUUCUACUCUCCUCUUCCAUAUUCAAGCUCUGCAGUUUCGAAUGCACUUCCAUGGUUGAGCCAUGGGAUUUCACACCCGACUUAUAGAGCCGCCUACAAACGCUUUACGCCCAGUGAUUCCGAACAACGCUAGGACCCCUCGUCUUACCGCGGCUGCUGGCAC
rnacentral:rRNA from 1 species